rnacentral:lncRNA from 1 species
AUUCUUUUGGAUUGUACUCCCUGACCACAAGGCCUCUUGUCAAUUCUUUCGGACUCUGAGACGUGGAAUCUAGAUCUUGAGAAAAACUAACUUGAAAAAGGAAAGACUUAUGGGGGGUGGGUGGCGCUGGCAUUUUCAGAGACUUUGGUGUGAGAGCAGCUGGCUUCUUUACUCUGAACCUCAGAUCCUGAUGCAGAACAUGCCUGCAGCAGGGGUAAGUGAUGGGAGAGGUGGCUCACUUCACAGAGGAAACAGAGAAAGAGCCAGGGACAAGGUACCUUCAUUGUGGUUUGAAUGAGAAGCAUCCCCCGCAGACUCACGUCUUCACACACUGCUAAAGUUGGUAGCAUUACUUGGGAAGGUAUGGAUGUUGUGUCCGGCCAGCAGACCACAACCUGGGUUCUAGCCUGGAAAGGCAUUUUGGAAACCUGGAAGAGAAGAGGGGCUAGGUGGCGAGAGAAAGAAAUGUAGCCAAGACAGUUAUUCUGAUCAAAGCUCAAAUUUUAUUGUUGCGACACUAGUUAUGAAGGAAGUGGGAGGGGACCCGAUUCCCGCCGAAUAAUCUCUGGUCCAGUAGAAAUGUGAGCACGUGUGUGGCUCCAAACAGCAAAGGGCAAGUUCCAGCAGUGGGCGUGGCAGAACGAAUGAGCAGGAAGCUCCACCCCUGAGCAAGCAGGUUUCAGGCUGGGGGAGGGGAGACUACAUAUGGAGCCCUUAGGAGGUGGAGCCUUGAUGGAGAAAAUAGGUUGCUAGGGGCUUGAGGGGAGUGGGGACUUUGAGGUUUUAAGCCUGGCUCCACCUCCUACUCAUUUCUCUCUGCUUCCUGUGUGCAGACAGCAUGCAAUCCUCUAGCUUCCUGCUUCUUCCUGCCUCCCCUGCCUGUUGUCAUUUCACCUUUGUCAUGAUGGCUUCUUCUAUCACUCUAGAACUGUAAGCCAAAAAUACCCUGUCUUCCUUACAUCACUUUUGGUUAAAGUAUUUUAAUACAGCCAACAGAAAAUAACAAAGUCUCCACCUUCAGGCUUCUGUGACCUAAUUCCUCUAACUAGGACCCACCCUCAAGGAUUCCUACCACCUUCAGCAAUACCAUCAUUUUAUGAAUCUAUCACUGCUUUGGUUUAUUGACGAGGUCAGAGCCCUCAUGGUCAGAUUAUUUUCCCAAAGCCCCAGCCCUGAACAUGCUGUGUUAAGGCUCAAAUACACAAGUCAUUUGGGACACAAUUCAUAUCCACCUAUCAGGCUGGUUGUUUAUACAGUGUGGAAACGCUGGUCAAAGGGAUCAUGUCCCGGGUAGAAAAGCAUGAGAUUUUGUCAGACCGCUCAGAACACCAUGCAGCUUAAGACUUAAUGGGUUUGUUUAUUUCUGUAAUCUAUUUACUUUUUUGAAUCAUUGUUGAUGAAAGUCAAAUGGUAACUAGAGGAGGAGUACUGUGCUCAAACCAGUUAUACACACAUUGUACAAAUGUGGCCGUCAGCUUGAGAGCAUAAAAUAUAAAGUGGAAUGGGCAAUUGUAUUACAUUGUUCCACCAAAUUCACUAGGAAACAGGAGCGUUUCCUUCCUCACUUCCUGUACAGAAGGACACAUGUGUUACUUUACUAUAUGACAUCAUCACCAAGGCAACUUCUAGAAGAAAGAGUUUAUUUGGGGCUUAUGGUUUCAAAGGAUUGAGGUCCGUUACAGCAGAACAGAAGUAACAGGUGCCAGGCACCUGUGGCAGCAGCUGAGAGCUCACAUCUUGAAUAGCAAGUAGGAAACAGAGAGAAAACUGGGGAUGGCACCGAGUGUUUAAAACAUCAAAGCCUACUCCCAGUGACACACAUCUCUGACAAGGCCAUGCUUCCACGCCUCCUUACUUCCCAAACAGUUCCACCAACUGGGGACCAAGUAUUCAAAGACAUGAGCCUAUGAAGACCAUUCUCAUUUAAACCCCACAGAGAGAAAAGUUAGUGUUUAUAUCUUAACAGAGCAUUAGAUAUACCUCUGGUUGUUUCUUGUCAAUUCACUAUGGUGUACAUCUGGGGGUUAGCUUUCAUCCAGGAGAGAUGUGAUCCUGAGACACCACUUAGAGAGGCAGGCUGUGUGAUCUCAUACAUAGGCUUCCCAGAAUAACCCUUGAGCCACCUGCUUCCAACCUUCUGGCUCCUGUGAUGAUGAUGCAUAUGGUGACCUCUUCAACUCUGCCCUUCCCCAGUUGUGCCAGUCCCAGUUCCUAUACUAAAUCUGUCAGUCUUGGAAUAAAUUGACAGUCAUUUUCCUGACUGAAUCCUGGCUGGUACAUUGGAAUUUCAGAAGUCGUUUAUAACUUAGUCAACACUCGUGGAACUGAAACAAAAGUCUAGCUUCCAAAUCAC